rnacentral:lncRNA from 1 species
UGGUAGGAAAGGGUUAAGUAACUUGCUUUUCCUUGCCCAUAUUUCAGGAGUGGACAUCAAAGCUGCACAAAACGUUUUGCCACUUUCUGUCUGGAGCGGGCUCCGUGCCGCUGGGAAGGUCGCUGGUGUGAACGUGUGGGACCUUGGCCUCCCUGAGGUCCACACAACCGAGUCACAUCUGGAGGAAAUCAUGACCAAGGAAAAGAACAGGCCUGAGCUACCACUGAAUUCAGC